CUGGCGGCGUGCCUAAUACAUGCGAGUUGAACGGUCUUUCUAUGGAAGCUUGCUUCCACUGAGAAGAUAGUGGCGAACGGGUGAGUAACACGUGGGUAACCUGCCCAUAAGAGGGGGAUAACAUCCGGAAACGGGUGCUAAUACCGCAUAGUUUUCUUGAUCGCAUGAUCGGGAAAGGAAAGACGGCCUUUGUGCUGUCGCUUAUGGAUGGACCCGCGGCGUAUUAGUUAGUUGGUGAGGUAACGGCUCACCAAGACGAUGGAUACGUAGCCGACCUGAGAGGGUGAUCGGCCACAUUGGGACUGAGACACGGCCCAAACUCCUACGGGAGGCAGCAGUAGGGAAUCUUCCGCAAUGGACGAAAGUCUGACGGAGCAACGCCGCGUGAGUGAAGAAAAGGUUUUCGGAUCGUAAAACUCUGUUGUCAGAGAAGAACAAGUUGGAGAGUAACUGCUCCAGCCUUGACGGUAUCUGACCAGAAAGCCACGGCUAACUACGUGCCAGCAGCCGC
rnacentral:rRNA from 1 species